rnacentral:rRNA from 1 species
GCAAACUGGGGAUGGCGACCGGCGCACGGGUGAGUAACACGUAUCCAACCUGCCGAUAACUCGGGGAUAGCCUUUCGAAAGAAAGAUUAAUACCCGAUGGCAUAAUAGAACCGCAUGGUUUGAUUAUUAAAGAAUUUCGGUUAUCGAUGGGGAUGCGUUCCAUUAGGCAGUUGGUGGGGUAACGGCCCACCAAACCUUCGAUGGAUAGGGGUUCUGAGAGGAAGGUCCCCCACAUUGGAACUGAGACACGGUCCAAACUCCUACGGGAGGCAGCAUG